AAUGGGGGCAACCCUGAACGAGCAACGCCGCGUGCAGGAAGAAGGUUUUCGGAUCGUAAACUGCUUUUCUCUGGGAAGAGAACGGACGGUACCAGAGGAAGAAGCCCCGGCUAACUACGUGCCAGCAGCCGCGGUAAUACGUAGGGGGCAAGCGUUGUCCGGAUUUAUUGGGCGUAAAGCGCACGCAGGCGGUCUGUUACGUUCCCAGUGACAGUGCUUCGCUUAACGGAGCAAGGUCUGGGAAAACGGACGGACUUGAGGACCAGAGAGGGACAUAGAAUUCCGGGUGGAGUGGUGAAAUGCGUAGAUAUCCGGAGGAAUACCAAAGGCGAAGGCAGUGUCCUGGCUGGUAACUGACGCUCAGGUGCGAAAGCUAGGGGAGCGAACAGGAUUAGAUACCCUGGUAGUCCUAGCCGUAAACGAUGACCACAAGGUGUGCGGAGUAUCGACCCUCUGCGUGCCGAAGCUUACGCAAUUAGUGGUCCGCCUGGGGAGUACGG
rnacentral:rRNA from 1 species